GACGAACGCUGGCGGCGUGCUUAACACAUGCAAGUCGAACGGAAAGGCCCUGCUUUUGUGGGGUGCUCGAGUGGCGAGCGGGUGAGUAACACGUGAGUAACCUGCCCUUGACUUUGGGAUAACUUCAGGAAACUGGGGCUAAUACCGGAUAGGAGCUCCUGCUGCAUGGUGGGGGUUGGAAAGUUUCGGCGGUUGGGGAUGGACUCGCGGCUUAUCAGCUCGUUGGUGGGGUAGUGGCUUACCAAGGCUUUGACGGGUAGCCGGCCUGAGAGGGUGACCGGCCACAUUGGGACUGAGAUACGGCCCAGACUCCUACGGGAGGCAGCAGUGGGGAAUAUUGCACAAUGGGCGGAAGCCUGAUGCAGCAACGCCGCGUGCGGGAUGACGGCCUUCGGGUUGUAAACCGCUUUCGCCUGUGACGAAGCGUGAGUGACGGUAAUGGGUAAAGAAGCACCGGCUAACUACGUG
rnacentral:rRNA from 1 species